GGAGUUAGCCGGUGCUUCUUCUGUGAGUGAUGUCCUUCCUGCCGGCUAUUAACCCGCAGGCCUUCUUCCUCACUGAAAGUGCUUUACAACCCGAAGGCCUUCUUCACACACGCGGCAUGGCUGGAUCAGGGUUGCCCCCAUUGUCCAAUAUUCCCCACUGCUGCCUCCCGUAGGAGUCUGGGCCGUGUCUCAGUCCCAGUGUGGCUGAUCAUCCUCUCAGACCAGCUACGGAUCGUCGCCUUGGUGAGCCGUUACCUCACCAACCAGCUAAUCCGACAUAGGCUCAUCCGAUAGCGCGAGGCCCGAAGGUCCCCCGNUUUCCCCCGUAGGGCGUAUGCGGUAUUAGCCUGGGUUUCCCCCAGGUUAUCCCCCACUACCGGGCAGAUUCCUAUGCCAUUACUCACCCGUCCGCCGCUCGCCACCAGGGAGCAAGCUCCCCGUGCUGCCGCUCGACUUGCAUGUGUUAGGCCUGCCGCCAGCGUUCAAUCUGAGCAGANCAACUCUGA
rnacentral:rRNA from 1 species